UUUUUUUCCCCUGUCCGUUUCUCCCACUUCCUCCCCGGUCGUGGGAGAGGUCCGGCGGGGGACAGGGAAGGGGGAGCAGGGCACGAGUGACCACCUUGGCCUCCCAAAGGGCUGGGAUUACAGGCGUGAGCCACCGUGGCUGGCCUUGGUUUUUUUUGUUUGUUUGUUUUGUUUUUUGUUUUUUUAAUAGAGAUUUGGUGGGGCCGUGGGGGGGUCUUGCUAUGUUUCCCAGGUCUCAAACUCCUGGGCUUCAGUGUUCCUCCCACCUGAGCCUCCCACAGUGCUGAGAUGACAGGAAUGAACCAUCGUGCCAGCGAGACGCCCAGGCUCUAAGCUCUACAUGGUCUAACUUCCCCCACACCAGGAGCAGCAGGUGACUCAGUUUCCCCUCUUGUACCACCAGCCUCAGAUCCGAUCCUGCAGGAAAAGGAUCGAGAAAGCCCCACUCGGAUUCUCCAUGGUGAGAACCUGACUCAGAGGGGCAGGGGCUCCUCUGUGAGACGGGCAUGGACCCUAAUCCUCAUCGCAGCCCUGAGAAGAAGCAGAGACUACAAUUUCCACCAUACAGUUGGGGAAACUGAGGCCCAGAGAUGGACAAGGAGCAAGGAUGUUAAGUCCAGCAUUCGCGUGUCUCUGGACGCUGCCAGGGGGACCAAAGGGAGGUCCUUCAGGAAGUGCCAGGAUGUGGCACACCCCAAACCACGCCCCCCGCCCCUGUCAUGAAAACAGAACGAAGGGGACCCAAAGCUUCCUCCUGACCUCUGCCCUUCACUUCCUUUUUCCUCCCCCAACCAAAAAAAAAAAAAAAAAAAAAAAACCCGAGUUGAUACUAUUGAAAACCUAAUAAAGUAUAAAAGAUUGGGUUGCUGUGUGAUCUUGGGCAGGUUGCUUAACCUCUCUGAUCCUCAGACUCCUUUGGAGAGAAGAAUCGAUGCAACUUCCUAGUGUUGUGACAAGGGAGAAAUGAGACGGUGCAUGGAACGCUGAGACAGCACAACCCCUGCACCAGGGAGGUCUUCAUUACAUGAUAGGUGUGAUUAUAUUAUUAAUGUUUGAGUCACGCCUAUUAUUUUUGUCUCUGUGUAGCCAGGGGUUUUCUGUUUGUCUGUUUGUUUGUUUGUUUAUUUGUUUGUGAGACAGAGGUUCACUCUUAUUGCCCAGGCUGGAGUGUAAUGGCACGAUCUCGGCUCACCACAACCUCUGCCUCUCAGGUUCAAGCGAUUUUCCUGCCUCAACCUCCCAAGUAGCUGGGAUUACAGGCAUACGCC
rnacentral:lncRNA from 10 species